rnacentral:rRNA from 1 species
AGUGAACGCUGGCGGUAGGCCUAACACAUGCAAGUCGAACGGCAGCACAGUAAGAGCUUGCUCUUACGGGUGGCGAGUGGCGGACGGGUGAGGAAUACAUCGGAAUCUACUUUUUCGUGGGGGAUAACGUAGGGAAACUUACGCUAAUACCGCAUACGACCUACGGGUGAAAGCAGGGGAUCUUCGGACCUUGCGCGAUUGAAUGAGCCGAUGUCGGAUUAGCUAGUUGGCGGGGUAAAGGCCCACCAAGGCGACGAUCCGUAGCUGGUCUGAGAGGAUGAUCAGCCACACUGGAACGGAGACACGGUCCAGACUACUACGGGAGGCAGCAGUGGGGAAUAUUGGACAAUGGGCGCAAGCCUGAUCCAGCCAUACCGCGUGGGUGAAGAAGGACUUCGGGUUGUAAAGCCCUUUUGUUGGGAAAGAAAAGAAGCAGGUUAAUACCCCGCUGUUCUGACGGUACCCAAAGAAUAAGCACCGGCUAACUUCGUG